rnacentral:lncRNA from 1 species
GCAGAAUAGACAGAAUUUAUUUUUUCUUUUCCUUCUUCAUUCAGAUCACACAGAUUAAAACGGAGACACUCCAUAUCAGAUCACCAUUUUUUUCACAAUAAAUACACAUGAUACAUAUCAGCCGAUUCACACACAUCUUUAACAUAUACAUGCUCUAACAUAACCAAAAAAAAAUAAAAUCAGUAGUUUCUUUUUCCCCCUCCAUCAGAUCCGGCGAACACCACCGGAUUUUGACCACUAUCACUAUAUUAACCUCUCUCACUUUUCCCCUUUGAUCUCACGCGCCACCACUCACUCUACCAAAAAACACCACAAACCACCACAACCAACUAUCCGUCCAGCUUUCCCUCUCUUUUUAUCCCUCUCCUCCAUCGCUGCCUCGCCGAAAGUGAUGACUGGUGAGUUUCAGCCGAAUCACCAGUGAGCUGCGCUGCCUGUUUCCUAUUUCCAUUCAUCUUAUUCGCUAACUCCCCGGAGUUGAUGACCGGCGAGUUUCGGCCAUCACAGUAUAACCAGCCGCCCCCUUAUUCUUUUUUGCAUCAUUUUACCGCCUGCAGCACCAACCUGCCACUACUCCGGCGAGCACAACCACGCACCACCGGUAUUGUCCCUCUCUUUUCCGCUGCAACACCGGAAACCAUGGAGUUUUCUCCGGUAUUAUCACCCCUAAAUAUUAGAUCUAUAAAAAAUGGUGUUUUCUUCUCUUAUUUUUGCUUACCAUGUUAUUGUUCUGAUAUUUUUUUUUUGUUGGACAGAAUACUGCAGUUUGGCUAUAAUUGCAUUUGUUUUAUGUUCCAAGUGGGUCAUUAGACCAAAAACUUUAUUCUCUGAUUACUAUUUCUGAUUGUUCUGGAUUUCUCCACUGUAUUUAUUUAUUACACUGAUAAUGAAUAAGAUUAACAAUUGACCAAUGAAAAAUUAUUAUUAAUUUUGAGGCCUCCGUAAAUAAAAGACGGACUAUUAUGUAUACAUAUACGUAAUAAAAUAAAUAUUUUGGGUGAUGACAAACUUUUAUAACAUCACGACAACACAAAGAAUUUUAUGAUUCAUGUCUUGGCAAGGCGAUUUAGGAUAGUCGAUUAGUCGAGCAACCAUUUCGCAGCCAUGGAGAGUUUAAAACUCAAUCCGAGCCCACACGUAUUUAAAAUUUAAUUUGAGCUACUUUUUAAUGAAAAUUACAUUUUGUACAUAUCUUUUUUUUUUUUUUAUAAUUAUUUAUUUAUUACUAACAUUUUUUUACAAGUGUUUGUACAGGUUAUUUGAAAUACUCAUCGAGAGUUGCAUUCAAAGAGCUCUUUUAAUUUUGUAUUGUAUUUUAUAUUCUUAUAUUUGUACAAAUAUCAUUAUAGUGAAAACUUUAUUUUUUGGGGCGUUGGGCGAAGGUGUUCUUUAUUUAUACAAUUAUUAUCAUGCGUUUAGGCAAAUUCAAGCCGUUAAUAUUUAUGUUAAAAAAUUUAAUUCAUUUAGAUAUUUAAAUCAGUUAAUUGAUACAUUGGGUUGUAGCAUAGUCUUUUCUUUAACAUAAUUUUUUAUGAUGUUUUUUACCUUUUUGUGAUUCUCUACACAUGUUAUUUAAAAUGUUAAUAUAUACAUUAAAUCUGUUUAAAUAAUUAACAAAAAAAUGAUUUAU